rnacentral:rRNA from 1 species
CCCUUAGAUGUCCUGGGCCGCACGCGCGCUACACUGACAUGUUCAACAAGCCUCCUAGUUCGACAGGAUUUGGGAAAUCUUUGAACGCAUGUCGUGAUAGGGAUAGAUUAUUGAAAUUAUUAAUCUUGAACGAGGAAUUCCUAGUAAACGCAGAUCAUCAAUCUGCAUUGAUUACGUCCCUGCCCUUUGUACACACCGCCCGUCGCACCUACCGAUUGGAUGGUCCGGUGAAGCCUCGGGAUUGUGGUUCUUGCCGCUUUAUUGUGGCGUGACCGCGAGAACUUGUCUAAACCUUAUCAUCUAGAGGAAGGUGAAGUCGUAACA